rnacentral:ribozyme from 1 species
UGCUAACUAUAAUGGCCAUAGCAAAAGCAUUCAUAUCAUUGCCCCUGUCAGAUUCCAAUGAAUUUGUGAAUUCUGCU